rnacentral:lncRNA from 1 species
ACUCCCUCCAGAUAGAUAACCAUGGACAGACUGAAGGAUGCCACCCAAGUCUAACUCAGGUUAGGCCGCAUCCUCCCCAAGCUUGUUUAAGCCAUGAGGACUGCUGAGAAUCCCUCUCAGAGCAGCUGAGCUGCCUGAGGAGAGAGACUCUCCAAGCUGUCCAGCUGCCUGCAGGCUGUGCAGUGAGCUACCAUUCCUGCUCGGUGGGCUUCGGUGAUGCAGCUAUCUUUGAGUCAUUUCCAUUCCUGUAUGUGAUCCUUCACCUACACUCCUAGCAUGACUUCACUUGCUAACGAACAGAAUGACCUGUUGAAACAAUGGGUUGUUGUUCCUAACAACCUGCUGACUGCCAUGUACUCUUAGAUGCAGGCCUUGGGCAGCACGAGCACACCUGGCCCCUAGAAGCAGGCGCCUCUAGCCACGCCCUUCGCACAAGGCGUGGGCGGAGCUUCUGGCGGAAGGGCAAGGAAGGAGGAGGAGGUGACGCGGAAAGCGGGCGCCGGUUUCGCUCAGUGGCUGGGAGGAAGCUCGGCUGCCCAGCCGGCCGCGAGCAGGCCGGAGUCCCGGUCGCUGGCCGGGCUUCUCCGGGUGUGGGCGUGAGCAAGGCAGCGGUCCCGGCCGCUGCAGCGUUCGUCCAGCCAGCGCGUUAGGUGCCGGGAGCAAAGAACGUAGGUACAUUAGUUCUCAGAAGCUUCUAUGGAAAAAAGGAAUUCAGCCUUACUGAGAAAUGGAAUACUGGGUUUAGAAGCUUUAAGAAGUUCUAUUUUCCUCAAAAUGUGUGCUUUCUGA